AAGUUUAAAUUCUGCAUCUUCUAGUCGAUUUUGUAACUCAGUUAUAAGCCUUUUUUGUGCUUCAAACUCAGUUCUUGACUCAAAUGCAGACAGAUCAGAUACCUGUAAUUUAUUUUGUGCAUCCUCAAGGUGCUCUUGCAGUGCCCUUAACUGCUCACUCUGUGAUAAGCAUCUUUCCUCUAAUAUAUUUGAUUUUACUGCUAGCUCAUCACAAUUAACCACUCUGGCUGUUAAAUCGUGCACUUGUGACAGGUAAUGAUCACGAUCAUUUCUCGCCUGUUGCAACUCUCCCCUUAGAGAUGCAACUUCAUACACCAAAGCAUCCUUCUGCUUUGAUACUUCAUCUAGAGAUGCCUAAUAGAAUCAUCAAUCAUCCAUCAAUUAAAUUUCAUAACAACAACAAUGGAGGAAAAUAAUGGGGAAGAUUGUCCAAAAAUGUCUCAUACGCUUAUACUAGUAUGAUUUGACUUGAUAACUCUAAUGGGGCUACCCAAGAAACUAAGAAAGCACAACUGAAAUACUUGUAAAAUGGACAAGUAUCUUAUCCAAAUCGUUUCACUGUUUGAGCAUCCAACUUAAAAGCCUAAGCCAUUGGGUGAAAAGGCCCAUCUACUUUAUUUACCUAUCUCCAGGCCCCUGCCAAAGGGAUGUGAGACUGCCACUCAGAUAUUCAAUACCUUUGGGAAAUCAAGGGAUUCUAUAUUAGAUAGCUCAAUUUGGACAAAUUGACAAGGACAACAAACAAGCAAUGCUGACUAUUUUCUUGCAACAUAAGUAUACACCACUGCUUGAUUACAUAGAUGUUGAUUCCUGUAAAGCCCUACUGUUCUUAGGUAUAAAAGCUCUAUCAUUCACAGUCUUGCAUUCUCUAAGUGGCAUCACUCACAAAGCAAAACACUAUAGUAGAAAUACCAAAAACUAUACCAAAAGAAAUGUUGCACAGUGCCUGCUUGCAAAAUACACAACCCAUCAAAUAUCAUUUUACAACUAUAGAAGUAUUUUCCUAUGUGUGCAACCAUAAGGCCAGCUAGGACAUUUUGUCUCUCUUCCAAAACAGUCAAAUUCAUUACUAAAACCGUCAAAGUAAUACAUUUUGCUAGUAGUUUUGAAUUGUGAACAAUAGAGUAUGUUUCUUCCCUAAAAGACAAGUAUCAGGACAAAAAAGGGUAAAACAUCACUAUGACAGGUAUCCUGUUUGUUGUGGAGCGGCAAAAACAAUAGUUGAUAUCGAUAAUGAGGACAAGUUGAAUCAGUUUUUAACAGGCCUGUGUGAGAAUUAUGAUCAUGAGAGGAACCAAAUUCUUCUAAUGGGUCCAUUACCAGGGAUAAAUAGGCUUAUUCCAUGGUACUAAGGGUAGAAAAGCAGAGAGAGGCGGUUUGCAGCAUUAUAAGUGAACACUCUUACAAAAGUAAUAAAAUUAAAUUCCUGAAUUUCCACGGUAAGUAACUUCUUGCACUGUGCAAUUAACUAGUUACGCAACAAGAAUAAUUCACUCAGAAAGAGGGGGGAAAACAACAAAAUAAAAGCUCACUUUGCACAAAGCAUAUUGAUCUUGCAAUGAUUUGUUUUGACCCCUUAAGUUGCUGAGACUCUCCGCAAUAUCAGCUUUUUCUUUCUCUCCACGCUUAACAGUUUCAUGAGCUGUAUCAAGAUCUGUCUGGAGUUUACUAUUAUAUAACUGUAAGCUUGAAUUGUACUCCUG
rnacentral:misc_RNA from 1 species